UGGUUGUUUGGACUCGUUUGACACCGAGGGCAGAGGAUUGCUGCCGUCCGGCUCCCCUUGCUAGCAAGUAAAAUUGAUCGAUUGCUGUUCAACUUGGUUCGUUAACGGGAAUAAGUCUAAACCAGCUGAGCCUGUGGAAGCGCAGAGCCAACAUUUAUUUGGUCCUUCCGAGCCGGAGCCCAACACAUUGCGUCCACCGAGGAGGGAGAGACCUCGACGCCGCAGUCUGCUAGCAGCCAGGACAUCCGGGACGCCUGAUGAUAGACUUAAUUUGUGGCCAGGCCGGUGAGUUAGCGUCUGACCUCCCCUCGGGUUGGAUGGCGAUUGACGGGAUCCAGAGACUUUCCCCGUGAACGAGAAGCAGCACAACAGUAAGUAAAGAGAGAGGGCCUUAUUCGUCACCUUGACCAUGCAGUUAAACGCAGGUAAGGGAGCGCGCUACCUGUGCAUGCAGACGCAAGCUACCUGGUUUCUCCACCAGUUUUUCAAGGUCCUCUUGUUUUCUCCACCAGUUUUCAAGGAGGUCUGGUUUCUCUGUAAGUUUUUAAGGAGGUCUGGUUUCUCCGCCAGUUUUUAAGGAGGUCUGGUUUCUCCCCAGUUUUUUAAGGAGGGUUCUUCGCCAUUACGGACGCUUAGUUUUUAAGGAUGGUUUCUCCACCAAAAGGAGGUUUUUUCUCCCCCGCUGAGGGCGUUGAGUGUUUGGUUUCACCACCAAUAUGUAAGGAGGAUAGAGCUCUCGUUGGUGACUCUGCUGUAAGUAAGAUCAUAGGCCAAUUUUGUGUGUGUGAAUGUGAACUAUGUUCAAGUAGGUUCUCAGGCAUCCAGGACAUGGUAGUCUAAGGAGCUUGGAAAGAAAGUGACUGGGCUUCUUGAAGUUUCUUGAAUUUUCAGAAUGUGAAACUGAAAUAGAAGAUGUGUCAGAGGACUACACAUCUUCCAUUUCAAUUAUGAUGAAGACAAAGAAUCAAGCAAGAAAGAGGAGUCAGCUGAGACAUACAAAUAUUUGCAGUAAUGUGAGGAAACAUUGAUCUGGUCUUCUAUCCUUCCGAGUGACAGACGAUGCAUGACUCUCUCAUGCGUCACAGAGAAAGACAAUCUACCACGGUCCAAGCACAUAUGCCAGGUCCCAUACUCCUUCGAUUGAUUGUCUACUUGAGCACUGAAAGCAUUAUACACCAUGUAUUAUGCUUGUAUUAUGCUUUUUAACUUUCACAUGCCAAUGGAUGCAUCAGAGACCAAGUUGGAGUUCAGUAACUUGCCCAUGAACACCUUGGUAAGAACUCCAGACCAGAGCACACAGAGAUUGAACCAACAACCAUCCAAUUAGUAGAUGACCUGCUCUACAGCCAACUCAAUGACAAACAAGGAGGGACAACAACAGAUGAAGAAUAAUGGAUCGAAUGCAGCUGUAGGCAUAUGUGGAGCAACCUAAAGACGAACCAUUCAAUGAUCGAUUUUUCUCUAAGGCUUCUGAAAACUCAGAUUCAUCUUCCGCAUCUUCAUCUGUAUCGUCUGUGUGGUCAUCCUCAUCUUCAUCCCUGAAGAAGCGAAAGCACAAAUACAAGAAAAAGCAUUCAAGAGCCAAGAAACCCAAGAAGGAGCAGAGGAAGCUCCGGCAGCGUGGUGAUCAAAAGAUUUUGGAAGAGACGAUUGUACAGAAGAGGAUACUAUAAAUGUGACAUAAAAGAUUAUGAUUUUAAUUUGUUCUAAAAACUACUCUGUGUUUGCUAUGUCAUAUAUACAUAUCUAUCUAUCUGUCUAUAUGUGUGUGUAUAUAUAUAUACAUUAGUAUGCUUUGAAUAUUUGCUUUUCUAAUUAUUUGCUUUGUUUUCAUUUUUAGUUCAAACGCAAAAUGACAUUGUGCAGCAAUACAAAUCCCUCCUCAAGACAUUUCCAAAGACGAAGACCAUGACCAAAGCUUUUCAGAAGCAUGGGCUCGACAGGAACACUGUUGUGUCCACUUCAUUAGUUGGGGAGCUUGCUAUUGCGGUCCCCAAUGUUUACCAGGAGCUACUGUCCAACAGGCCUAGAGGAGAGACGGUACUAGCUUUUGCUAAGCGAUGUGAGGCUGCAAUUCAAGGCAGUGAUAAAGUAAAAAACAAAAUAGAAAGUAUGAAGGCGGCUGGUACUUUGCUUCCAAUUUGAAGAGGGAAAUCUGUCUGGAACCCUAAUUUGUGUUAAGUGGUUUUGUUUGUUUUGAGCAUAUUGAAGUGAAGAAAAGAUCUGCAAAAUCACCCAUUUUUCAAAGAUCUGUUCACAUAUGUGUUGAGUUUCCACACAACUCAGAGAUUUACCUGGUAGUUUAUUUUAUUGGGUUUUUUAUGUUUUGAUUUGUAUAAAUGUUUGUAGAUUAAAUAAUACAGCUGUGCAGUUUCAGUUAAGGUAUAAUAAUUUAUUAUAUUAUAAUUAUUAUAAUUUUCCUUUGUUUUAUGCCAGUGGUGAAUUUAGGGAUGGGGUUUGUUUCCUUAAUAUAGUUUUAGCUGUCUUUGAAAGGCUUGUAUAUAAGUUUAGCAAUGCUAAAUAACUGUUGGUGCUUUAUACUUUUUAUAGUAAUGCCCAGUAACACUCAGAAAUGUUUGUUGGUCAUAAAUAAAUGUUGACACGUUUUAAACUUUACAACAAGGCUCUACAUUGCCAUUUUUGACAGUAGUCAAAUGUUAUUUCAAGCACUGAUUGUAAUUUAGGUCUAAGUGUUAUAAAUGGUGACAUUAUACAUUUAAGACUCACUUUUGUUAUUUAUAAAUGUUUAUUUUUCAUUAAUAAAUGUUGACAUGUUUUAAACUUUACAACAAGGCUCUCUUUUCUUAUUUAUAAAUGUUUAUUAGUCAUUAAUAAAUGGUUUUAUGCUUUACACUUUACAACAAAGCUCGGAUUGAUAGUUGUGGAUAUUUAUAAUGCAUUUAUAAAGUACAAUUUUAUAUGGUAAAAAAUAUGUUUACACAUGCUGAUUGUGCUUACAAGAUAGUAACUUAGUCUGAAAUGUUUAAUAUAGCAACUCUAGAUGAAAUAUAUAGGUGAACACAUUUGGCUCACUAUUUGGCAAGAAACCGGUCAGGUUUUUUUCUUUCUCACCCUUAACUAAUGCAUAAUAAACCAUUAAUAACGGUUUAUAAAGCAUUUACAGAUUAAUUAAUAAUAUAGCUAUAAACUAUUUAUUAGCCAUCUAUAAGGGGAGUCUUACUGUAAAGUGGUACCCUUUCCUUUAUAAAUAGUCAAACCAGACGGGGUCAUUUUUGAGCCCAAAGGACAACAGAUGUGAUUAUUCGCUGCCAGUAAAAAACUUGUAGAUUAAAAACAGCUUUCUAAAUUAACUUUGACAUAUACCCAUCUGUGAUAAUCUGUUAAAGAAACCGACUCUGGUUGUGAAACGAUAAUCACAAUAACUGAUCAUUUAACUUAUUUUUUUUACCCCAAAACAAAGAAAAAGUUCAUUUAAAUGAGGUUUUACCAGACUUAAAUUUGAAAUGGAAUAAAGAAAUAGUGUCGAAAUGUUUGAAUUAAUUUUUAAUUAAAAGUGGGUGAAAAAUCCACUUCAUAUUAAUUAAGUAUCAAUUAAACCAGAUGGGGUCAUUUUUGUAAUAGUCAAAAUAAUCUAAACAUUUAAAUAUUUUAUUGUCUCAUUUUAUUUUCGCUCAAAAACAGACUAUACUUUAUGUAAACAUGGUCUGGUGGCCCUAAAUUGCAAAAUGAGGUGUAAAUUUUGUGGUAAUGUGUUGGUCUUAAGUUAAACUAAGGUGUAACACUGAAUUGAUUGACAAUUUGUCCUUUAAAAAACACUCAAAUGAAUUGGGGUCAUUUGUGACCCCUGAGGACAACAGGUGUAUGGAAAUCGGGAGGACAUUACGAGGGUUAACACCACUAUGAAAGGUAAACCCCCACCCAAAUGUGACAAAGGGGUAGAUGUAUGGAUGUGUGUGUGUCUUUUGUUGCAGGAGCAGGAGGAGACCAGAGGAGGAAACUUUGGGUCACAUGACAGAGUGUGAACUCUGCAAAUUUAACCUUUUAGCUGUAAUUUUUCUGGGUGUCAGUGAAUUUACCAGCAGUGUGUUAUUCAUGACCGAGUAUUGCUCACAGUGAAAAUGUGUAUACACCUGCACAGCGCUAACAUUUAAAUUACUUUUCUACAGCAGAGGGUUAAUCAUGUGAUUUAUAGCAGGACACACAAUUGGUUAAUAUUUUUUUACAGGAUUUCUGGGUUUUUGUGUGACGGAAACUGUGUUUACAGGUUGUGUGUUGGUUAUGCUAUUACACUGUGUUGUUGAGAAAAUGGUGGAUAUUACAGGGGAAAAUGUGAAUACAGUGUGAGACAUACUGUGUUUGAAACCAGUGUUACUUGUUUUACAGCAGAUUGUUAACUUAAUGGUCUUUUACAGCACCUCUGGAUCCUGGUGACCUAGGCCUGACCUCCAGGAUGCUACUGCUAAUAUUUGUUUCUCUUUAAGACUGUUUGUAAAGGAUUCAGCACAGACAGACAAGUGACAACUGAACAGAUGUGCAGUGAUUAUAGAAUAGUUACAUGGGGCUCAUUAUCUGACCACUAUUGAGCUCAUAGUGCUGAAAUGAGUGAGUGACAAACUUAAGGAAAGUCACUGAUUAUAAUGUGGAAUAAAUUGGGAUGAUAUAUGAUUUGGAGCAAAUUAUGGCAAAAAGUAGUGGGUUUAAUGAUUUAGAAUAAACCUGCACAUGAUACUUGUCUCUGUGAUGCUGAAUACUUUAUUGCUCUUAUGAGCUACAGCUGUUUGCAAAUGUGAAGUUUGUUUCAACUUACAGGUUUUGUCCUACAGGGACAAAACCUGUAGGACAUUUCUGUAGGAUAUUUCCAAAGACGAAGACCAUGACCAAAGCUUUUCAGAAGCAUGGGCUCGACAGGAACACUGUUGUGUCCACUUCAUUAGUUGGGGAGCUUGCUAUUGCGGUCCCCAAUGUUUACCAGGAGCUACUGUCCAACAGGCCUAGAGGAGAGACGGUACUAGCUUUUGCUAAGCGAUGUGAGGCUGCAAUUCAAGGCAGUGAUAAAGUAAAAAACAAAAUAGAAAGUAUGAAGGCGGCUGGUACUUUGCUUCCAAUUCGAAGAGGGAAAUCUGUCUGAAACCCUAAUUUGUGUUAAGUGGUUUUGUUUGUUUUGAGCAUAUUGAAGUGAAGAAAAGAUCUGCAAAAUCACCCAUUUUUCAAAGAUCUGUUCACAUAUGUGUUGAGUUUCCACACAACUCAGAGAUUUACCUGCUGGUUUAUUUUAUUGGGUUUUUUAUGUUUUGAUUUGUAUAAAUGUUUGUAGAUUAAAUAAUACAGCUGUGCAGUUUCAGUUAAGGUAUAAUAAUUUAUUAUAUUAUAAUUAUUAUAAUUUUCCUUUGUUUUAUGCCAGUGGUGAAUUUAGGGAUGGGGUUUGUUUCCUUAAUAUAGUUUUAGCUAUCUUUGAAAGGCUUGUAUAUAAGUUUAGCAAUGCUAAAUAACUGUUGGUGCUUUAUACUUUUUAUAGUAAUGCCCAGUAACACUCAGAAAUGUUUGUUGGUCAUAAAUAAAUGUUGACAUGUUUUAAACUUUA